GCCCGCAUAGCUCAGUCGGUAGAGCAUCUGACUUUUAAUCUGAGGGUCGCGGGUUCAAGUCUCUCUGCGGGCG
rnacentral:tRNA from 1 species